CUGGUACCACCAGACACAAAAUUAUUACUAGUAGUAAAAGUGCACUAAUACCUCUCUAAGAGCUUAUUCAUAUUCAAAACUACAUACGUACUGAAAUAGUCUUGCCAGAUGUGUGCAAAAGUGUCAUUUAAUCAGCUGACUAAAUUCGAUUGUACUUUACCACAAUUUAUUAAAAUAACCCUGAUAUAUUAAAUCAUCAUUCAGGAUUAUUAAAGUUGUGAUAUUAAAUGAUAACACCCCAAGUAGAGCAGCCGACAGCAUAACAGCGGUCUCCUGCAUUGCAGGCUCCGCUUAAUAUUUGAUGGCAAUUCAUGUUUUAUAAUCAAGUCUAGUUCAUAUUUAUAUAAAUACUUUGGAAGAUAAUGUGCCUUCCGACGGUUUACGCCGUGCUUAAUACACACUACACCAACUCAAACCCUCAAGGACUAGUCAAAAUUGACGUGACACGGUGAUCCAGCAGUGGAGCAGCAGCCAUCUUUAAAUGGACCCUACUACACUGUUGCCACAUUUCCAUGACGCGCUGUUGGAGCGUCAUUUACUAUAAUAUACAAUUUUUUUUACCAAGUUAUUAGAAUUAAUCUAUUAGUCUAUUUAUAAGAUAAUUUUUUCUUAAUUAUAUAAGUUACAAUUAGCACAAAAAAAGUUUUGCAAGCCAAUUUUUAUAUUGAAUUAAAUUUAUUAUUAAAUUUUGAGUAGAUUCAAAUUUGCGCGCUUUAAUAUAGAUGGCAGUACACGCAUUUUCAAAAUUCAAAAAAUAUGGCGGACAUUAACGCGAAAAGUAGUUAUAAUUGUUGUAAACAAAUAAUAAAUAAAGUGUGUUUUGUUUAAAUUUAUUGAAUAACAAUAUAAUAAAUAUGUAUAAAAGAGUGUUUUGUUCAUUAUCUACAGUUACCUGAGUUAAUAAAAGAGAUGAGCAUAAUAGUUCAGUCUCUUGCUGAUCUUUGAUAAUAUCAGCAUUUUCAUGCAUUCCAAAUACGCUUGGGGGUGUAGUUAAAGGAAGUUGUUUUGUAUACUCCAGGGUUUAUGCUUGUGGCCUCUGCAGUGUCAGCUGUGGUUUAUUAUGUGGAUGGAAGUAAUGACAUUUACAGCUGUGUAAAUGCUUGGAAAUAAAUUCUCAACUGAAGGUUCAGGAAGAACUAUUUUCACAGGAUUUGUUCUUGGUGUAGUAAUGCACAAACAUGUAGUUUGUAAGUGCUUGUGAUAAAGUUGGAAACAAAUUUUUUACACCAAGAAAGAUACACAUGCAAUCAGAAUUAUUGACAAGAGACUAUGAAGAUGAAAUUAUUUAAAAAAUUCCUUUCUUUGUGCAAAGUAUCCAGAACAAUAAAAAGAGGGAGCAAACUCUGUCAAUACUAAAAUACAAAGCACAGAACAGAGAGGCUUCCGAGGCAGCAGUUUCGAUCACGUCAGUGAUGAAUUUUGUUGUUUCCCGCAUAAGCUCUUCAUCCUCUUUGAAAGCUUCUUUUCGUUCCUCAAGGUUUCCUGUCAUCAAUUUUGUUUCAUGUUCAUCCAGCACUGGCGAUUGAAACGUCAAAGACAUUGUUCGAAUACCAACUAUUUAUCACUCAGUUAGUCUUCCUGAUCAUUGAAGUGAUUUAUUUAACACAGGAAGAAUCAACGUGAACAAUAAAAAUAUAUCAGAUAAUACCUUACGUACUGCAAAAGUUAAUGAAAAUGACGUAUUGGUGUCGACGAACGCCCGGCGACCCGGAUACCUCGUAAUGAUCGGCUGCUUCGUGCCUGGCUUUCUCUACUGAAUAUGUCACCCCCUCUCGCAAAAUAUUUUCGAGCAUGCGCCUCCACAAU
rnacentral:lncRNA from 1 species